rnacentral:rRNA from 3 species
GCAUAUCAAUAAGCGGAGGAAAAGAAACCAACAGGGAUUGCCCCAGUAACGGCGAGUGAAGCGGCAACAGCUCAAAUUUGAAAUCUGGCCCCUAGGGUCCGAGUUGUAAUUUGUAGAGGAUGCUUUUGGUGAGGUGCCGCCCGAGUUCCCUGGAACGGGACGCCGCAGAGGGUGAGAGCCCCGUCUGGCUGGCCACCGAGCCUCUGUAAAGCUCCUUCGACGAGUCGAGUAGUUUGGGAAUGCUGCUCAAAAUGGGAGGUAUAUGUCUUCUAAAGCUAAAUAUUGGCCAGAGACCGAUAGCGCACAAGUAGAGUGAUCGAAAGAUGAAAAGCACCUUGAAAAGAGGGUUAAACAGUACGUGAAAUUGUUGAAAGGGAAGCGCUUGUGACCAGACUUGGGCGCGGCGGAUCAUCCGGGGUUCUCCCCGGUGCACUUCGCCGUGUUCAGGCCAGCAUCAGUUCGGCGCGGGGGAAAAAGGCUUCGGGAACGUGGCUCCUCCGGGAGUGUUAUAGCCCGUUGCAUAAUACCCUGCGCUGGACUGAGGACCGCGCAUCUGCAAGGAUGCUGGCGUAAUGGUCACCAGCGACCCGUCUUGAAACACGGACC